UUGUGUAAAAUGAUUUUAGCAUAUUAUAAAAAAGGAAAUACAAACUCAGAACUGGAAAGAAAGACCUCAGAAUAACAGAAGAUGGUCAUCGAUCACCAAAUUAAACAUGAAAAUUUGUAGGUAGAGAUAUUUGUUAAUAACAAUAAGGGGAAAUAGUGAAAUUCUAAAGGGAGAUGAAACCUUCGCGGACGAGGAGACCAAACAUGAGAGUCAGAAGACCCGUAGUUAUGCUUUGCGUUGGAGUCAUCCAUGGCUGAGAAUAAGCGCCCAACGUAAAGGCAGCGCCCACCAUUCCGAUCAAGAACGCGCUCAUAUUCUGAUUCAUUUUUCUUGAGAUCUUACUCUCUCUAUUUCUUUGCAAUUUCUGCUUCUGAAAAACGAUCGUUGAAUAAAAGGAGACAACUAAUUGCAUCAAUAAGUAAACAACCACACAGUUCUCUCAAAGGCCAAAGUCAACUCUACCUUGGGGAGAUGAAUCCGUUUUUGUUUAUUAUUGAUGUGACUAU
rnacentral:lncRNA from 1 species